UACAGAGGUCCCAAGCGUUGUUCGGAUUCACUGGGCGUAAAGGGUGCGUAGGCGGUCGGGUAAGUCUGAUGUGAAAUCUCCGGGCUCAACCCGGAAAUGGCAUUGGAUACUAUUCGGCUCGAGGUCUGGAGGGGGGACUGGAAUACUUGGUGUAGCAGUGAAAUGCGUAGAUAUCAGAAGGAACAUCAGUGGCGAAGGCGGCUUCCUGGACCAAUACUGACGAUCAGGUGCGAAAGCGUGGGGAGCAAACAGG
rnacentral:rRNA from 1 species